GUGCUUGCUUGCUUCAACAGCACAUACACUAAAAUUGGAAUGAUACAGAGAAGAUUAGCAUAGCCCCUGCACAAGGAUGACACAUAAAUUCGUGAAGUGUUCCAUAUUUAA
ensembl:snRNA U6 U6 spliceosomal RNA